CCGCCUCAGGGAAGAGGAAGGAGGCCGCGGCUUCGCGUCCCGCCUCUCGCCUGGCUGGCCGUGGGGGGCCUGGACGCAGUGGCCUCCCGAAUCUCCCAGGACCCUAAUAUCGCCCGAGGAUGCUGGGAGGAACGCUGAGCCGACCUCUCCGUUAGGCUGAAGAUUGCACAAACCAUGCUAAUGGCCAGCAUGGAUGGAGGGAGCGUGUGAGAUGUGUGGGGCAGCGUGCUGCAUCUCAGCCAACUCCAGGAGCCAGUUGAUGUGAUGGACUACCUUAAUUGAUUUUUGAAUGUUGAGCCAGCCUUAUGCAUGUGGGAUAAACCCCUGUUGAUCAUGCCAGGACUCACAGGUCCAGGAAUCAAGAGGUGGAAGUGGAAGUGGCACCACUCACCAUCACCCCUAGUGAUCCACCAGCAAAAUUUUUGCUGCCUCUUCCCAUGACGUUACGUUCUGUUGGCCUAGAGGUCUUAGUUCCAGAGGGAGGAACGCUGCCACCAGGAGACACAACAGCAAUUCCGUUAAACUGGAAGUUAAGAUUGCCACCUGGACACUUUGGACUCCUGCUAUCUUUAAAUCAACAGGCUAAGAAGGGAGUUACAGUGUUGACUGAGGUGAUUGACCUGGACUAUCAAGAUGAAAUCAGUCUACUACUCCACAGCAGAGGUAAGGAAGAGUAAGCAUGGAAUACAGAAGAUCCAUUAGGACAUCUCUUAGUAUUACCAUGCCCUGUGAUUAAGGUCAAUGGGAAACUACAACAGCCCAAUCCAGGCAGGACUACAAAUGACCCAGACCCUUCAGGAAUGAAGGUUUGGGUCACUCCACCAGGGAAAAAACCACAGCCUGCUGAGGUGCUUGUUGAAGGCAAAGGGAAUACAGAAUGAGUAGUAGAAGAAGGUGGUCAUCAAUACCAGCUACGACCACGUGACCAGCUGCAGAAACCAGGACUGUAAUUGUCAUGAGUAUUUACUCCUUCUUUUGUUAAAAACAUGUUUUUGCAUGUAUACACUUGUACUAAGAAAAUAUCUUUAUUUUGUUUCCUUUCUCCUUUAUCAUGUGAUGUAAGAUUUAUUGACUUGACAUCAACAUUUAAGUAUUGUUAACUUUAUGUAAUAGUAUUUGGGUUGGGGAUUGGUGUGUUUCCAGUUGUAUGAAGGAUAGUUAUGUUAGGCAUAAUUAUGACCUUAUUAUUGUCUUUAUUUGAAUAUUAUGUAUGAUCUCAGGAGAUGUGUAUGGGUUCAAGUUGACAAAGGGUGGACUUGUGAUGGUUAAUACUGAGUGUCAACUUGAUUGGAUUGAAGGAUACCAAGUAUUCAUCCUGGGUGUAUCUGUGAGGGUGUUGCCAAAGGAGAUUAACAUUUGAGUCGGUGGGCUGGGCAAGGCAGACCCACCCUUAAUCGGGUUGGGUACCAUCUAAUCAGCUGCCAGCAUGGCUAGAAUAUAAUAAGCAGAUAGAAAAUGUGAAAAAAGGUACUGGCCUAGCCUCCCAGCCUACAUCUUUCUGCCAUGCUGGAUGCUUCCUGCCCUUGAACAUCAGACUCCAAGUUCUUCAGUUCUGGAACUUGGACUGGCUCUUCUUCCUCCUCAGUCUGUAGAUGGCCUAUUGUGGGACCUUGUGAUCAUGUGAGUUGUACUUAAUAAACUAUAUAUAUAUAUAUAUAUAUAUAUAUUCCUUUAGUUCUGUCCCUCUAGAGAACGCUGACUAAUACAGACCCUGAACACAGGAG
rnacentral:lncRNA from 1 species